rnacentral:lncRNA from 1 species
GUCACAGCGAUAAAAAAUCCUGAUUUAGAUAAAAUGGAUUCAAAUACAGUUUUUGAAACAAAACGAAUGUGAUUUGAAGAUCCCUAGGAAGAUCAAAUUCCUAGCUUACAUUUGCAUGGUGAGUUCAACAAGUAUUUGUUAUUAGAGAACAAGUAACACAGUUAGUGGUGUAGGGAAGCAAACGAAUGUAACACCAAGACCAAUUGAAAGUCCUCAACAAGUAGAGAUGCACACAUGUUUCAAUCAUUUGAGAUACCCUUUUGUAGAAGUAUUUGGAAGAUAACUAUUAAUAAUUUCAUUUGUAAAGAUACGAUUUGUAAAAAAGUAUAUACAAAGUGGUUUUGCUGGUAUUAAAUAAAUAAAUAAAAAUACGUUGUCAUGUCUUAUUUUUUCCCAAAUGGUAUUUUGUAUAUUUGAAAUUAAAAAUAAUUUGCAUAUUUUAAAACCAAAUUAUUUUUUUUCAACUAUACAAAUAUUUUAACCUAACAUUUUCUUCCCACCAAAA